rnacentral:rRNA from 1 species
GACGAACGCUGGCGGCGUGCUUAACACAUGCAAGUCGAGCGGUAAGGCCCUUUCGGGGUACGACGAGCGGCGAACGGGUGAGUAACACGUGGGUGACCUGCCCUCAGCUCUGGGAUAAGCCUGGGAAACCGGGUCUAAUACCGGAUAUGACUCCAUGACGCAUGUUGUGGGGUGGAAAGCCUUGUGCGGCUGAGGAUGGGCCCGCGGCCUAUCAGCUUGUUGGUGGGGUGAGGCCUACCAAGGCGACGACGGGUAGCCGGUCUGAGGAGAUGAUCAGCCUCAGUUGGGACUGAGACACCGGACCC